CAGUAGCCGCGGUAAUACGGAAGGUCCAGGCGUUAUCCGGAUUUAUUGGGUUUAAAGGGAGCGUAGGCCGUGGAUUAAGCGUGUUGUGAAAUGCAGGUGCUCAACGUCUGCACUGCAGCGCGAACUGGUCCACUAGAGUGUGCGCAACGCAGGCGGAAUUCGUCGUGUAGCGGUGAAAUGCUUAGAUAUGACGAAGAACUCCGAUUGCGAAGGCAGCUUGCGGGAGCACAACUGACGCUGAAGCUCGAAAGUGCGGGUAUCGAACAGGAUUAGAUACCCGAGUAGUCCCUGUCUCUUAUAC
rnacentral:rRNA from 1 species